AUGCCCACAUAUAGGAAGAGUACACACACAACCAAAUUGCACAAGUGUAAACUUUGAAUAGGACGCCACAGCUCUGUAAAUUUACACAGACAUUAAAUUUCGUUCAAUUCAUUUUAGUCAUAUAAUGCUAAGCUGAUUUUUUUUAUAGCACACUGAUCGAUAUCUCUGUAAAAUAAUCAUUUUUUUAACUAGCGGGGCAGUGAAAUCUUUGCUUUGUGCUAAAGUCAACAGUGACAGAGUUUGAGCUCAAAUAAAUGCCGUGAUGUCUGGAGCCCUUUGCAGAAGGCAGUAGGCGAGCUUCUACAAUGGGCUCCUGUGUGGCGUGCCAACAACAAGCACCGGCUAUUUUGCACAGGGCUCUGCUGACUGAAGUGAUCCCCACGGCCCGAGUGGAAGAGAGGAGGGAGAGGAAGCCUCAGAGGGAAGAGGGAUAGCUGCUGAAGAGCUACACUGAUGCGCGCGCGCACACACACACACACACACACACACACACACACACACACACACACACACACACACACACACACACACACACACACACACACUCAAAUACUCACACAAUGUCCCUCUCAGUCCUGGGUUGUGACCGGCCCAUGGCAUUGGCCAGAUGCACGUGGCUUCAUUUGAAGGACACUUUUCCAUUGCUGCUUUCUGUCUACUUUCAUCACCCUGCAUCAAGCGACCUGAAAGCACUUCCCUGUCGAUGUACUUGGCUAUAUCUACGUCUGACCUGUCUGCCAUAUGUAAUAUCAAAGCCUCUGUCAGCGUGGAGCUGAAUGGGAACAAAAGAGAGGCCUCCAUUAAUGAUUAACUGUUCUAAAAGCCCCGGCUUUUGUAUUCCCAUGGUGCCCAGGCUAUCUGGCCACCAUGUGACAUGCUCGCAGCAUUUUUCGAGCAGAUUGGGGGAAAGCUAGUGAGCAAACACAGGUGCUUUGGAGCUGCGUUGCCGACGCUGUCAGGGACAACCACAAACAAGAGCAGCUAUGCCUGGCUAAAUGAAUCCCCACCCCUCCCAACACCAUCACCACCUCCACCCCACACCCCCCUCUCUGUCGCUGGCUAACUUGUUUGCUAGCUACCUAUAGCGUUUUCCCCGCAAAGCCUUCCUUCUGGAGAGUCCCCAUGUCCCCCCCAACGAGUCCAAUGUCUGCUACAGCUGCGCUCCACAACUUCUCCCACCCUCCAAAGAAACAAACAAAUAAAAGUGAGGACAGCCGACCACUUCUUUGAGGUGAUGGCAUUUGCUGUGGUCAUGACUAGUGGGAGAGCAAACAAAUUAAUGGUGUUCGAGUUUUCACUUUCCAAACCAAACUAAAUGUCUUUUAGUUCAAGUAGGGCAAUUCUACUGACCCUGAUGUCAAAUGCUGUAUAAGGAUAGCACACUCUUGCACUUGAAAUCCAGAGAGGAGGCUGUAAGAAAUUAAACAGAGCUUGAGCCUGCAUGUAUUAGCCUGCAUGAACCUGGUGGGUUAAAACAACUUAAAGUGACAAAUAAAUCUUGAAUAAAUUGAGUAGGUAAUAAAAACUCAUGGUUCAUUUUUGCUGUUUAUGUAUUUUGACCACAAACGUUAACAAGAGUUGUCUGGAGCACUUAACCUUUUCAUCCGGGCUGACUGAAUGUUCAGAGUGACUGAGGAGGGUGCUGUGUCGCUCAACUUUGAUAAGACAAUCAGAUGAUAGGAUGGCGUUAUCUUAACAUGGUUUUCCGGCUGGGGGACAAAUGAACAGUGUGAUAACAGGACAAAAGCUUGACUCUUAUUGGCUGGCUCCUCCGAAGAAAGGAAAAAUAUCAGGAUGGAAAAUUCACAAUAGGCGCAGUUUAGUUCAUUUUUAAUUUUCGACUUAUUCCAGGACACAGGAACAGCUUUUUCCUAAUCUUUCAAAUAUUUAGAUUGUCUCUUGUUGGUGUUUUGGUUUCAUGGUCUGCAAUUACCUGUGCCUAUAAAGCAGUUAUUAUCACUGGAAAGAUAAUAAAAAAUGUUUUAAAACAAACUAUUUAAAUCAACAGGACAGGAAAUUAAGUUGUAUAAGUGAGAGAGCCAGACGCAGAAAAAGAGAGGCUGACAGUACGUAAGAGAGUAUAUAUAUUAUAUUAAUACAUAUGUAUAUAUACACAUAUAUAUGUAUAUAUAUAAUAGAAGGAUAGAAAAAAGGUGUGUGUGAGAGAGAGAUGGAAAAGAUGGAGAAAGAAGAAGGUCAAAAGUUGUUUCUUCAGAGACCUGCAGCUGAUCACUAUACGCCACUUCAGUCUGGGUUUUCUGACUUUUACAGCCCAAUUCUCAGAGUCAGAGAGAGGUGUGUAUACUCAAGGAUUCACUCAGGGCUUUGUUUGCUCUAUUGCCAAAAAAUGAUUGGAAAAAAUAUUGGUGCCCUGGCACGAAAUGUGAGAUGUUUCUUAUAAAUAAAAAACCCUUGCAACUGUGUAGAAAUUGCAUGAAUAAAAUAUCUAUUUUAAAGAGAA